AUGACUGAAACAACUGAGGGAAGCUAAUGAGAACUGUGCUGGAAUGUCUAGUGGAAGCUGGCAGCAGAAGCAAUUGGAGGUACAUUUUUGCUUCAUUUUCAGGUUAUCUACACAUUAAAGAAAGUGAAUGUGGAAUUGACAAGAAACUGGAGAUGACUGAUGAAACAUCCAAAGGAAGCUGAUGACAACAGUAGAGGAUCUAAUUUUGACACAUCUCAACAGGAUGGAAUAUGUGCAACUAAAGAUUAAUACCAGUUUUAUAAUGGUCCUAUAUUGAUGGAAAAUCUGAUAGAGGCUGGUGACAACUGUGCCAUCUAAGGCUGUGGCUGUGUGAUGACCUGUGAAACA